rnacentral:snRNA from 1 species
CUCACUUUGGCAGCACAUAUACCAACCCUGGAAUGAGUUCAGAAAUAUUAGCAUGACUCCCGUGCAAGAA